UACGUAGGGUGCAAGCGUUAAUCGGAAUUACUGGGCGUAAAGCGUGCGCAGGCGGUUAUAUAAGACAGUUGUGAAAUCCCCGGGCUCAAACUGGGAACUGCAUCUGUGACUGUAUAGCUAGAGUACGGUAGAGGGGGAUGGAAUUCCGCGUGUAGCAGUGAAAUGCGUAGAUAUGCGGAGGAACACCGAUGGCGAAGGCAAUCCCCUGGACCUGUACUGACGCUCAUGCACGAAAGCGUGGGGAGCAAACAGG
rnacentral:rRNA from 1 species